UGAACUAAACUUAUGAAAUAU
rnacentral:piRNA from 1 species